rnacentral:lncRNA from 1 species
UAUAAAUGAAAUAUAUAGUAUAGGGAAGAAGGGGAUUUAUAAAUGAAAUAUAAAAAUACAAUUAUCUGCCAAACAAAAAUAUAAAUAAAUAUUUUUCUUUACUUUUGUAUUCAAGAUCUAUUGUAUUGGAUUCGGGAUUCGAGAUGAUUUGGCUUUGAUUCAUCAUGGAAAACUUUAUGCACUGCUGCGUUCAGACCAAAAAUGAUUUGGUAAUCUCCUUCUAACUACAUGAUUUAAUCAUCCCUUCGAAUCUUCUUUCAUCAUCAAGAUUUAUCUCUUCCACUCUAUCCAAGUUUCCUCUAAGUAUUACCAGAUCCGCAAGGCUGAAUGGCGUACAUAGAAAUCCUCAGCCAUAAUUAACUUAUUAAAUCAAGGGUUAGACUAGUAUCUUCUCACAAAGUCCACUGCAUUUAAACAAAAUGAAUCCCAAAGCUGAAUGGCGAACGUAGAUAUUUUCAACCAUAAUUAACUUACUAAUUCUCACAAAGUCCACGGCAUUCAAACAAAAUGAAAAUGAAUAUAA